UUGUCAUGGGACCUGACUGGGAC
rnacentral:piRNA from 1 species